rnacentral:rRNA from 1 species
UACGAAGGGGGCUAGCGUUGCUCGGAAUCACUGGGCGUAAAGGGCGCGUAGGCGGACUCUUAAGUCGGGGGUGAAAGCCCAGGGCUCAACCCUGGAAUUGCCUUCGAUACUGAGAGUCUUGAGUUCGGAAGAGGUUGGUGGAACUGCGAGUGUAGAGGUGAAAUUCGUAGAUAUUCGCAAGAACACCAGUGGCGAAGGCGGCCAACUGGUCCGAUACUGACGCUGAGGCGCGAAAGCGUGGGGAGCAAACGGGG